GGUCCCGUAGCUCAGUCGGAUAGAGCGGCAGAUUCCUAAUCUGUAGGCCACUGGUUCGAAUCCAGUCGGGAUCACCA
rnacentral:tRNA from 1 species